rnacentral:rRNA from 1 species
GACGAACGCUGGCGGCGUGCUUAACACAUGCAAGUCGUACGGUAAGGCCCUUUCGGGGGUACACGAGUGGCGAACGGGUGAGUAACACGUGAGUAACCUGCCCACAACUUUGGGAUAACGCUAGGAAACUGGUGCUAAUACUGGAUAUGUGCUCCUGCUGCAUGGUGGGGGUUGGAAAGCUCCGGCGGUUGUGGAUGGACUCGCGGCCUAUCAGCUUGUUGGUGGGGUAGUGGCCUACCAAGGCGGCGACGGGUAGCCGGCCUGAGGGGGUGACCGGCCACAUUGGGACUGAGAUACGGCCCAGACUCCUACGGGAGGCAGCAGGGGGGAAUAUUGCACAAUGGGCGCAAGCCUGAUGCAGCAACGCCGCGUGCGGGAUGACGGCCUUCGGGUUGUAAACCGCUUUCAGCAGGGACGAAGCUUUUUGUGACGGUACCUGCAGAAGAAGCACCGGCUAACUACGUG